GACGAACGCUGUCGGCGUGCUUAACACAUGCACGUCUAACGUCCAUGCUCUGCUUUUGUGGGUUGCUCGCGUGCCGACCGGGCGCGUAACCCGUGACUCAUCUUCCCUUGCCUUUAUGAUACCUUCACGAAACUGGGGCUAAUACCGGAUAUCAGCCUCUGCUCCGUUGUGGGGUUUGGCCAUUUCCCGCGGUUGGGGAUGGUCUCCCGGCUUCUCAGAUUGUUGGUGGGGGAGUGGCUUACCACGGCUUUGACGGGUAGCGGGCCUGAGAUGGUGACCGACCACAUUGGGACAGAGAUACGGCCCAGACACCAACGGGAGGCAGAAGUGGGGAAUAUUGAACAAGGGGCGGAAGCCUGAUGCAGCAACGCCGCGUGCGGGAUAAAGGCCUUCGGGUUGUAAACCGCUUUCGCCUGUGACGAAGCGUGAGUGACGGUAAUGGGUAAAGAAGCACCGGAUAACUACGUG
rnacentral:rRNA from 1 species